rnacentral:rRNA from 1 species
UUCGUACCCUUCCUACGUCCACUUCGCACCUGUUCCUGUGGCUGCAACGGCUCCAACAAUAUCGUCGCUGUGAGCUCUUGCGAGUUCCCUUCUCAUCUGCGCGGACCCACCGACCCACUGAGACUGGUGACAAUUAGUGUACUAACAUUUCCUUAUACGCUUCGACUACUCUGAUCUCGAUUUCAAGAAAGAGAACCUAAGGAGUCAAUCC